rnacentral:rRNA from 1 species
GACGUAGGGGGCAAGCGUUGUUCGGAAUUAUUGGGCGUAAAGCGCUCGUAGGCGGGAUUGGAAGUCCGUGUUGAAAGACCUCGGCUCAACUGAGGGACCGGCUCGGAUACUCUAAUUCUUGAGGCAAUCAGAGGAUGAUGGAAUUCCCGGUGUAGCGGUGAAAUGCGUAGAGAUCGGAAGGAACGUCAAUGGCGAAGGCAGCCACCUGGCUUAAUACUGACGCUGAGGCGCGAGAGCGUGGGGAGCAAACAGG